ACGGGUGAGUAACGCGUGGGAAUCUACCGUACCCUACGGAAUAGCUCCGGGAAACUGGAAGUAAUACCGUAUACGCCCGAAAGGGGAAAGAUUUAUCGGGGUAUGAUGAGCCCGCGUUGGAUUAGCUAGUUGGUGGGGUAAAGGCCUACCAAGGCGACGAUCCAUAGCUGGUCUGAGAGGAUGAUCAGCCACAUUGGGACUGAGACACGGCCCAAACUCCUACGGGAGGCAGCAGUGGGGAAUAUUGGACAAUGGGGGCAACCCUGAUCCAGCCAUGCCGCGUGAGUGAUGAAGGUCUUAGGAUUGUAAAGCUCUUUCACCGAUGAAGAUAAUGACGGUAGUCGGAGAAGAAGCCCCGGCAAACUUCGUGCCAGCAGCCGCGGUAAUACGAAGGGGGCUAGCGUUGUUCGGAAUUACUGGGCGUAAAGCGCACGUAGGCGGAUAAUUAAGUCAGGGGUGAAAUCCCGCAGCUCAACUGCGGAACUGCCUUUGAUACUGGUUAUCUUGAGUAUGGAAGAGGUAAGUGGAAUUGCGAGU
rnacentral:rRNA from 1 species